CGUAACUCUCUGCUCUCCGAUCUCGCUCUAUCUGCUCGUCGUCGCUCAAUAUGCUCGACAUCGCCGUCGCACCAUGUGCUCGACAUCGUCGUCGAUUCAUCUGCUCGCGUCACCGUCGAAGUGCUUGACCAUUCUAGCUCCGAAAUUUCCAAUGCAGGGUGCUUCUCUGCAUUUCGUUCUCUAAAACUUUGGAUUGAGAACUUGGAUAUGUGAUAUCCAUGAAAAGGGGAAGGAAAAUGAGGGUCUUGGAACAGCGGAUUAAAGAAAGUGGUGAGGCUUCAAUUACUAAUGUAUCUAUGGUUGAGAUGCAGCAAGGAGUUUUGCGUUCUCAUCAUCUUAAUUAUUCUUGUUCAUAAGUUGUGAAACCGCGUCCCAAUUUAACUGUAUUUUCAUAUUGUCAAACUUAUGAAAUUACCAUUUUUGCCCUU